CUGCAUCCAAAUAGCUUGAAGCUUGGGCAAACUAAUUUUGUACACUAACCUGUUGCUUCUCUGCCUCUGAAAUGGAGCCUGGUAGAGGGGAGAGCUGGGGACUGACUGAAGAAAUGGAGAAGGCCAUGCUUGAUUCUGCAGAACAUGGCAGGAACCUGGAUGACAGGAUCAAUCUUCCUGUAAGUGAUGAAACAGUGAAAGGAAGUGGGAAAUUAUCCAGAGACAUGCCGUAAUCCUUUUGACCUCAAAGGAACAUCUAAUUCAAAACUAUGUUAAAUCCAUUCUCCAAGAACAGCUGUCACCACAGAGCUGCAAAACUUGUUAGGUACAAUCUACCAGUGCUUUGACAGAAUGCCCAGGUGGAAGUCAAUAAAACAAGGUCCUCCCUUUCCCUUGAGAUUAAUAUACUCUAGAGAGUCAAGCUUCUCUGGAAGCUUGGCCCAGGUCUACCAGGCUGCCUUUCCUGGAGUCUCCUCACAGCAGUUUGGUGAUACCAUUUUCUUCUAAGGCUGUACCAUGUUCCCUAAUGGAUCUGAUCAAUUCCUAAAACAAGAAGAAUGCAUUUUUAAUGAGUUUUCUUCAUUAACUUGAUAGCUGUUGGGGGCCAAAUUGUGCUCCCUCCUAAAUUCAUAUGUUGAGGCCCUGACCCCUAGUAUGUGACCUCAGAAUGUGACUCUAUUUGGAGAAAGGGCCUUGAAAGAGAUGAUUAAGGUUAAAUGGGGUCAUAAGGGUGAGGGAUAAUCCAAUAUGACUGGUGUCUUUAUAGAAGAGAUUAGGGCCAGGCACAGUGGCUCAACCCAGCAUUUUGGGAGGCCAAGGAGUGAGAUCACUUGAGCCCAGGAGUAUGAGACCAGCCUGGAUAACGUAGCGAGACUCUGUCACUACAAAAAAUUAAAAAAUAAAGAAAUUAGCUAAGGUGGUGUCAUACCCCUGUGGUCCCAGCUACACAGAAGGCUGAGGUGGGAGGUUCACUUGAGCCCAGGAGAUCAAGGCUGCAGAGAGCUGAGAUCACACCACUGCACCCAAACCCGGGUGACAGAGACAGAUCCUGACUCAAAACCAAAAACAAAAACAACAAAAAAAGAGAAGGAGACUAAGGCACAGACACCCACAGACUAAGGGACAACUAUGUGGGAGGAUGAGGUGAGAACGUGGCCAUCUACAAGCCAAGGAGCAAGACCUCAGGAAAAAUCAACCUUACCAGUACCUCAGUCUUGGACCUCCAGCCUCCAAAACUGUGAGAAAAUAAAUUUCUAUUGUUUAAGCUACCCAGUAGUAUUUUGUUAUGGCAGCCUUAGCCAACCAAUACAUCAGCUAUGGACUAUCCAAGGUGAUUUUCUUCAUUACUAUCUAUAAGAAAAUCCUGGUUUUCAGUAACACACAUAUUCCUUCUUUGGGAGGUCAAUUUCUUUAAUCCCAAAUAGUUAUCAACACAAGUUUGUACUUUAGGUUCUUGUCUUCCUUUCAGUUUGGACACAGGAUAUCAUAUGUUGCUCUUCAAUAACCUGACAGUAGGGUAGGAAUUAUUUUUACUAUUUUCUAAGUGAAGAAACUGACUCAAUGGCAUGAUUUACCCAGGGCACAUGAAUUUAUAACCAAGUCUUUCAAUACCGCUUUCCCUGCUGCUUCUCCAACAUUCCACUCCUUCUUCUUUUUCCCUAGCAUUAGAAUAUACCCAAGUUUGGGUGUUUUUCCAUCUCAAUUGUUUUUGAAACUUGUUUCUCAUCUUUCUGUAUUCUGUUGGAUUACUUUUUUUUGUUUCUCUUAAUUUUAGACAUUUGUGUUAUCUUUGUCAUGGAUUUCUUAGAAGACACCCUACACUAUUUUUCACUCUGCCUUCUUUAGGACAAGUUCCAGGAGAGAUUUUUUUAUCCAGUUAGUUUCCUAAGAAGCUCAACCUAUACCUAGAGAACCUUUUAGGAAACCCUUUCCCUGCAACUGUGGAUCCUGAACUUUGUAGGAAGCUGAAUACUCAUGGAAUGCCAAACUUAAGGGCCUUUGGCAUCUUUACCCUUUAGAGUAAUUAUGCUACUGUCUUUGGACUUUACAGUAUACGAUCAGGAGUUUGCUUUAUGAGAGGCAUUAAAUCCCCAUGUUAGGAGACUGCAAAAAGAAAAUACAAACACAGUCAUUAAGGGGCCAUUUAAGGGUAGUAGAUUCUGUGUUGUCCCUAGUGGAGGCUUGGAAUUGUAUAGUCAUGGAUCACUAUAGCCCAUCUGCGGGAAUUUUCCAAGUCGGGUAAAAGCCUACAGGAUCCCUGAGCCCAUCAGAUUCAGGAUGAGAAAAGGGCAGAAUCACAACUUAUAGCAUGGCUGAGGCAGGAAAAAUCAAACCCACUACAUCCAUUAGAAGGUGUUUGGGGCUGUCCGGAGACAAGGGCUACUUUGUCCUUGUUGGACCCUCCCUGGUGUGGGGUCGCUGUGACCCAGUGGUAGAGUGCAGGGAGUCUGGGGACAAAUGUUGUUUAUCUGGUGCUGCCACUGAUGCCCUCUGUGGCUUAAACCAGUUCAAUUGACCCUUCUGUCCAAAACACGCAGACACUCGUGCCUUCUCAUCUAGAGAAAUACAAGUGUUAUUGAAUUAAUUCCAAAAUAUUUGUAGGAGCACAAAUGUGAGCUAAAGUUUCACACAUAUUCUUUACUCACUGGCACAUUCAAGGGAAAAAGUGACCUGGUGUUUCAAGUACUUUGUGGUCACUAGACACCAUAAAUGAUAACAACAAUAAUAGCAAGUACUUUUUCAGGCACUAAGUGUGCCAGGCACAGCACUACGCGAUGUUCUAUAUAAUUUACUUCCCAUACAGCCUGUGAGGUAAAGCAAUGUUACUCUCCAAUUUUAUGGAUGAGGAAACUGAGCCUUAGAAAGAUCAACAAACUUUCUCAAUGUCACUCACUGAAAAGGUAGCAGAAUUGGAAUGCAAACCUCAGUCAACCGAACUAAAAAAAACUGAAGCUUUUAAUCAAAGCACCUUGAUUUCCAUAAAGACUGAAUUUUCAAAAUCUGUCCUAUUUCACCAGUUGUCCCAUAAAUGUUGGACUAUCCCAGAAAUGAACAAAACCUGGCAUCCAAACUGCAUUUCUCAGACUGUUUCUCACACUGAAAGCAACAUAAAAGUCCUCUGUAAGAUCACAAGUCCUGGUCCUUGAUAUAGAAAAUGUGGGCACCAUGAUCUAUGCAGAGGAGCAAAUUUUAGAGAAUUAGAGUGGAAGGCAAUGCACUCAAAACCAAAACUAUUUUGAGCAUCUUGUUAUCUUCUGUGAUUUGGGAGGCACUAAAGAGCCUUGUAGUACCUGGAGGUCAUCCUCAUGAAUCUCAGUCCUCAUGAUAUUAUUGAAGUGUAGAAAGGUAGGUUUCCAGCAAGUUUCAACAGAUGGAAAUCCAGAUAAAAGGAACUCACUCUGCUGAUAUUAAUUAUUUAAGCAGUGUUUUCUCGAGGGACUGCCAUGGCCUUAAAAAGGGGCUCUAUGAGCUGUUCUUUUAUAUUAUGAAUAUUUGUAAUACUAUAGCAUCUACAUUUCAAGUGUGGGCUUUAGUGAAAAACUUUGUUAUGCUUUUUUAGCUUUGUUGUUUAGUUUUGUUUGUUGAGCAUCAGAAGAGAUGGGAGUGAUAGGGCCACAGUAGAGAAAAGACUAAAAAUUCAUGAUCCACAGUCUUUUUGCUUCCCAAAUAUGGACCAUGGUUUUGAAGAUUUAAGAACCACAGAUUUAAGAUCAUUUUUUAAUUCCGAUAUACAAAUAUCCUCUUAAAAGAUAAUUGUACCACUUUAAAGAGUUGUUUCUGUUUUCUUUUCUUUUUUUUUUCUUUUCUUUUUUUUUUUUUUUUUUUGAGAUAAAGUCUCACUCUAUCACCCAGGCAAGAGGGCAGUGGUGAGAUCUGGGCUCACUGCAGCCUCCGCCUCCUGGGUUCAAGCUAUUCUCAUGCCACAGGCUCCCCAGUAGCUGGGACUACAGGUGUGUGCCACCACACCCAGCUAAUUUUUGUAUUUUUAGUAGAGACAGGGUUUCACCAUGUUGGCCAGGCUGGUCUUGAACUCCUGACCUCAAGUGAUCCACCUGCCUUGGUCUCCCACAGUGCUGGGAUUAUAGGCGUGAGCCACCGUGCCCGACCCCUCUUUAAAGAGUUGUUUCUAUCAGAUACAUUCAACUCAUAUAAUUUGCCCAAACUGAGAGAAGGGCAGAAAAAGAAGGAAAGG